GAGCGGAACUCGAAAGCCUGUCUCAGUUCGGAUCGGAGUCUGCAACCCGACUCCGUGAAGCUGGAUUCGCUAGUAAUCGCGCAUCAGCCAUGGCGCGGUGAAUACGUUCCCGGGCCUUGUACACACCGCCCGUCAAGCCAUGGAAGCCGGGAGUGCCUGAAGUAUGCAACCGCAAGGAGCGUCCUAAGGUAAAACCGGUGACUGGGGCUAAGUCGUAACAAGGUAAC
rnacentral:rRNA from 1 species